UACAGAGGUGGCAAGCGUUGUUCGGAAUUACUGGGCGUAAAGGGCGCGUAGGCGGCCUUCUAAGUCAGACGUGAAAUCCCCCGGCUUAACCUGGGAACUGCGUCUGAUACUGGGAGGCUAGAGUAUGGGAGAGGGAUGUAGAAUUCCAGGUGUAGCGGUGAAAUGCGUAGAUAUCUGGAGGAAUACCGGUGGCGAAGGCGGCAUCCUGGACCAUUACUGACGCUGAAUCGCGAAAGCUAGGGGAGCAAACGGG
rnacentral:rRNA from 1 species